rnacentral:misc_RNA from 1 species
UUGGUAUAGUUAAGUGUUGAACGUAAAUUCGAUGACGCGUUAUAGCCAAAGCUUAUCAUAUUUUUUAUCGUCAAAAGUUCCAGGAAACCUUUCGCCCGGGUCAUAAUUGCACGAGACGAUGUAUAAAAGGCUGAGUCGAAGAAGUGCAUUCAACAGACGUAAUCAGAAUGUCUUGGAAAGUAAUAACGAUAAUCUUAAUCUUUUGCACAGUUGCUCGAGCUGCCGGUUCAAAUGAAACCGAUUGCGAACCCGGAAAGGUAUGGCUACCUUGCGGAUCGGCUUGUCCAGCGGAUUGCCAAAAUCCCCUAAGAUUUUGUCUCAAGCAAUGCGUGCCAGGUUGUUUCUGCCCGUUUCCAUACCUAUGGAAUGAAAAGUUACAAAAAUGCGUGCCUUUCUUCUUCUGCGCAUUCACUGGUUUGACAUGGUGAAAAAAAUCCACGAUUCGUCAGCGCUACAUUUCCACUUGUAUUUCGAUUAAUCCAAGUCCAACUGUAACGAAAUAAUGAUCUUUAGUCACAAAUAAAUACAAAUAUUUCCCGACUGGCGUGUGUAUAACUCGUUGAAUUCACUUUUCAAAGUCGGACUUGAUAACGGAAGGUACGAACGUGCGACAAGUUAAUUUCACAUGGAAGUGCAGUUUUUUCGUACGAGGUCGUAUUUACUCGUAAUCAAGAAGGUGGGGUAUAUUGACUCAAUGUUUUCUUUUCAUCGUAGUAAAUUAAUUACGAUUCGGAGCAUACCCAUACCUCUUACGUACGGUAUGAAAAAUGGGUCAAGGUCACACACAUCGGCAAGGUUAAUUUUCCGAGGUAUUUAAAUGAUAGCGUGAAGAAAUUCGCGGAUCAUUCGUCGUAUCGAAUGACGGUGUGAGGAUGUCUAAAAUCGUAGUGCUGUUUCUGGUCGUUUGCUUGAUUUACGCAGUCCGUAAGUUGAUCGUAUUCUACUUUCUCAUUUCCCCAAAAAUACAGAAAUGAGUGAACUAAAGUAAUUGGACGAGAAAAAAAUUCGGAUUUUUUUGCAGGAGCCCAAUCGCCGUGCACCAUCGGAGAGGAAUACAGUAAUUGCGCACCAGCUUGUUACCCGACCUGCACGGAUCCGAGCCCCACCUGUAAAGAACCAAACUCGGUCAGUGAAUAGUCCCGAUCAAGAUUCUUUCGAUUUCUGUCACGUCUGAUUUUCAUUACAGAUAUUUCAGGGGUGCAAGAGAUCCUGCGUUUGUAAAUCUGGUCUCGUGAGGGACGAACGUUCGAAAAGAUGCGUUCGCCCAUCGCAGUGCUCGAUGGAAAAGGAUCGCCGGCUUACAAUUUGACAAUCGGAAUUUUGAAGAUCGGAAGCGAGUCGCGCGAUAUCGGAUCUCGCUUAAUUUUCAGCAACAAAUCAACGAGUGAACGUGCAACGCUCUACGACGCUACAUUUUCACCUGUUGA